rnacentral:misc_RNA from 1 species
GGAAGUAAAAGCCGUAACAAGGUUUCCGUAGGUGAACCUGCGGAAGGAUCAUUCAUAAUAAGUGUUUUACUGCACUUUUUAAAAAUAGUACUCACCUUGUGUGCAAUGUUGUGUUUCUUUUCGGAGAAACACCUACACCAACCUAUAACCUUGAACCACCUUGUCUGAAAAACUAUUAUGAAUACUUAAUUCAAAAUACAACUUUCAACAACGGAUCUCUUGGCUCUC